UCCGAUAUGGUGUAGCGGCUAACAUUAUCGCCUCUCAUUGGAACGCGACACUUUCACCCCGCCACCUCCUUCCCCAGGCUACAAAGUCGGCGCUGAGAUCAUGGCCCGGGGUUCAAUUCCCCGCGUCGGAA